UUCACUGCUGUACACCCAGCCCCCAGCACAGCGCCUGUCCAGGACAAGUGCCCAGUAAACACUUGGGAAGCAAUGCAAGCGUGCGUGCAUGGAUAAGUAUUUCUUUGGCAGAUGAGGGGGCUAAGGUUCAGAGAAGGCCCUGGGGGUCUCAGACUCAUAGCCCAGUGCUCUUUCUGCUGACACGCCCUGGUCUCUGGGGCAGUUUGUUGCCUGUUCAGCAACAAAGAGGGUGUGCCUCGUUAGGGGUCCUGCGUGCGAAUCGCAGUCCCUGCGUGUCUUGGCUGGAGGUCACCACCCUCUCUGCUCCAGGGCCUGUAAUUACCACUUACCCUGGUCAAUGGGUCCGAGAGAUUACCCUUGUAGGCAGGGCUGUGGCCAGGGUGCUCACCUGGCCCCCAGCAGGUCCCAUGGGCACUGUCUGGCCGGGCUUCAUGGCUGACAUUCCAGGUCCUCCCAGCAGCUCCUGCAAACAGACCCCCGACCCAAGCCCUUCCUUCUGCCUCCACUGCCACCACUGCUGCUCAUCUCUGCUGGCACAGAAGUCUCUUCCCUGGUCUUCCAGAAAUCCCCUCUCCACACUCAGCCAGAGGGAGCUAUUAAAACUGUGGGCCAGCCCACAUCAGUCCACAGCAAAGUCCUCUCUAAGGGAUCUCUGUUGCUUGGAGAAUAAACCCUCGGAUUCCUUC
ensembl:lncRNA PELATON plaque enriched lncRNA in atherosclerotic and inflammatory bowel macrophage regulation